AUCACUUCUCUGCCUUUUGGCUAAGAUCAAGUGUAAUAUCUGUUCAUAUCAGUUUAAAUUUUCUGGGUUUUUUUUUUUUUUUUUUACUCUGCCUGCUCUGAACCACU
rnacentral:snRNA from 1 species